ensembl:lncRNA
GGGAAGGCGAGUGGGGAACGGAUGGACGUCGGAGCUGAGCGGAGAAGUCAUUGUCAUGUGUCGUGUACUAUCACCCUUCCUUCUGUGAUCUUUGGGAAGACCAUGCUGCAGUUCUAAGACACAUAAGCAGUGCCAGCUCUCUGGAGACUCCCAUCGCUGGCUGUCUUCACAGCAGAGUAGCCACAGCAGGAGAAGGAGGUAAAGAAGCAGGGUAAGGAGGAAGAUUUAAAAGGGAGGGAAAGGGUCACAUUUUUUGCACCUGCUAUGAGCCCGGCUCUGCUACAUUGUUUCAAUACACAGUUUGUCCUGGAGCAACCCUCUGCCUGUCGGUGGUUCUAUGUCCACUGCUCUGUAAAAAUGCACAGGUUGGACAGCAACGGCCCAUCGAGUCUUCACCUCUAACGCGGUAUGACCCCACCCUGGUGUCAUGAACUAUUCUGUUGCUGACCUCCAAAGUACUAACAGCUCCUGUCAGUCUUAUGAAAGGAGGCUGUUCAGUUGGUUUUGCUGCUUCUGAGCUGGAAUGCCUAGCCUGUUCAGUAAACCCAAGCCCCAGGUGGGAAAGCAAGGCCCAGGCUCCCCUGAAUUGCAAGUGCAGGAAUGGGGGGCAGGUGGGGUAUACAUCUGAAUGGUGGAGGUGCAAUAUCUGCCCUGGGGAGCCCCCAAAUCCUUACUGUCUGAACAUUCCUGAUCACCAUAUAAGCAACUCGGGUGUAGUAACUAAGCAUCUUGUUUUCUUCUAUCUUUUGGAACACUCACACCUAACAGGCUACUUAUUUUGGUUUAGGACUUCAUUCUCAUACCUAUAUAUUCAGAACACUUUAUAAAAUGACCUCUGAUAUUCAAUAAACAAAAAUAUGGUAAAGCUUCUAAUGUGAGGUUCUGUGUAAUUCUAGGGAACUAAGCCUAAUUCCUCUUAAAGCCUAUAAAUACAAUUAUGCUCAUAAACUCAUUUGGAAUUUUUUUUACCCUAAAAUACUGUGCCCAGCAAAGAAAUGAAGCACUGGUGAACUUUACCAUGUUUAAGGCCACAGUGCAGGAUCCAGUCCACCUCUCCAAAUAACCUGUCUCCUAAUGCCUGGACUUCAGUGAGCGCGCGCACACACACAGCUUGAUUUCUCAUCCUUUGGCUAAACUUUGUUAAAAAAUUCUUUUCCAAAAUGUGGACAUAGCUUCUGUAAGAAUGACACACAAUCUCUGUUAGAAAAGGUCCUCCCGAAAUUGAAAAAUGACCAGAAACUUCCACUUAAGAUAGAGGAUGCCAAAAUGUGAAGGAAGCUCCUCAUUCUCACAUAAGGGAUCAAACAUUUAGAUACUGUAGUAACCUUUUAGAGAAAUAGUAGCUAGCCCAACCAUCUUUCAGUUCUGUGUUUCGUGAUCAGGUAGCUCUGGACAAACGACAGUAUUUCAGCCUUCUCUUAAAAUUCAAAUCUUUUUCCCCAUGGAGCCAAAGAAUAACCAGUAAAAACUGAUUCAUUAUAAAAUCAUUAAAAUAUUUCACAAUAUAAAUAUUACCUCUUGAGUGGGUUAGUUUAUGAAUACGUAGCUGCCAGAAUAUGAAAUGCAAGUUAUCUUUGGACUCUUUCAAGGUUUAUCCUAAAGAUCUACACAUGCCUGAGAGUAAUGUACAGAUGUUCACUUAGGUAUUGUUAGAAAUAGCAAAAAGUAGAGAAAAAGAGAAUGAACAGGUUAUUAUAGAGCAUCACACUAUGGAAUGUUAUGACUAAAUUAUGCAACCAAAAAGAAAAAAAUACAUCAUGAAAUUUAUAAGGAUGUUGCAAAGCCACUUUUCACUCAUUUUUUUGUGCUGGGGAUUAAAUCCAGGACCUCAAGUAUGCUAAGCACCCACUCUACCACUGUGCUACACCCACAACCAACUGAUUUCCCAGUAUUAAAGUUCAGUUUUCCACCAACUCAUGUUCACUUACAGGCUUAUCCUUCUAUUAUUCCAGGUCUUUAUUACGUUCUCCUCGUCAGUGGAUGCCCAGUAAACUCAGCUACCAAAGGGCCAAACCAUGGACAGGCCUAAAGGCUCCAGUGAGUCCAUUUCCUUCUGGCAGACAGCAUCUAUUUAGGUCUGAAACCUCCCAGAAGUGUGGCUAUCAAGUUAUUCCUGUGUCAUUCUGUGUUGUGUGGCAUGUAUUUCUUGCUACAGUGGAUCGUGAAACAGCAGCAUUCCUAGAACAGAGCAACAUUUUGCCUCAUUACUCUAGGGAGCAAGUUGGCUGAAACCCAGGGAAUUUCCUAAGCUGUGGCAAAUGUGAGUACUGCUUUGCUACUGGAAGGGGACAAGAAAAUGAACUACCUUGCUUCUUGUUGAAUAGCAACCCAAACCCUUUUCUAGCUUUCAUGUACUAUUAAAGGGUAUUUCAAGGGUCAGUUGCAAGUGACAAGCAUAAAUCUAUUAUCACAAUCGCCAAUUACUAGCUAGUGUGUUCACACUUAGGGUUUAAGAUUUAAGCUGUUUGAUGCGUCCAUAUCUGCAGUAAUACCAUAGUGGUAUUGAAAAAAAAAAAAACCUUUCAAGUACAUUGUACCAAGCAGAUGUGUGCUCUUAUCAUAGACCACGUGAUGCCCAACAAGGUAUUGGUUGGUUGUCAUUCAAAAAUCACUACUUUCCUCUCUGGUGCAGUUAUCAGUAUAAUGCAAAAACACGAGUAUAUUGUUUCCCUAGGUAGUGAGGAAAAGAGCUGUUGAUGGCUACUAUCAUACAGGUACUUUUCCUAUCUUUUAAUCCUUACCCCUGGGGUACACAGAGCACACAAGAGUUCCAGAUUUCACUCUAAGAAAAUUGACAAUUGUCAACAUUUUGAUGGAAGAUCAUCAGAAUUACAGCAACUAAUCAGCAAUCGUUUUCAACCUUC